UACGGAGGGUGCAAACGUUGCUCGGAAUCAUUGGGCGUAAAGCGCACGUAGGCGGCCUGUUAAGUCGGGUGUGAAAGCCCUGGGCUCAACCCAGGAAGUGCACUCGAAACUGGCAGGCUUGAAUAUGGAAGAGGGUCGCGGAAUUCCCGGUGUAGAGGUGAAAUUCGUAGAUAUCGGGGAGGAACACCAGUGGCGAAGGCGGCGACCUGGGCCAAUAUUGACGCUGAGGUGCGAAAGCGUGGGGGAGCAAACAGG
rnacentral:rRNA from 1 species